CAGAGGAGCAGCAGUCCCUGCAAGGAGAGGAUGUGACAUUUUAUGUGGGAUCCUGAAAGGUCGAAGUGAGCGAGAUUAGAGCAGGGGUGACUGCACGUGGAAGCCCUUGGGAAUGCAUGAGUGAAGCCUCAAUCUAAAAUUCUGGGUCAGAACCAAGCCAGGUGCCCACUGCAGCGCCGGCAAAGAUAUGUGGUGACCGCUGUCUGUGGUUGCUCUUCUGCAGAUUUCCCAACCUACAGAACAGCACAUCCCAGCGGGGACGAGGGCUCAGCUUCUGCCCCCGGCUCGGGCCACAAAGAGUCCCUCCUCACCCUGGACUACGUGAGUGCAGGGGCAAACUGCGCCACAGGUAGGCUCAAAUGGUAAGGGACCGUCUGGGAAGGCAGAGCGAUGAUUGGCGGAUAUGAUAGAUAGGUAAAGGGAUAUCCGGAUUGGUUGCCGCCUUCUCCGCUGUAGGACAGCCGGACAGAGAAUCUUCGUCUAGAGAAUUUUUCAGAAAGCUCAGAGCCAGAUCGAAUGUGAAUUGAAGCCAUUUUCCUUGCCCCCAGGUUUCCGGGUCCCUGAACAAGAUCUUCUAUUCUCGGGAUAUGGGAGGCAUCAGCACAGUAGAAAACGAAGCUGACCAUCUCUCAGGAGGCAGCUUAGGUUGGGAAUCUCUUCAGGCUUGCUUUCUGCAAAUCGCUGGGUACAAAACAUUAUUGCAGAUGUGGAAAAAAUGUGCAGAGAACCUGUGCUUCUGAUAAUGCCUGACAUGAAGAAAUGCAUCUGAAGAGCUGAUGAAAGUCCUCUUGACCUUCGCGUCCUAUCUUCUGAGAAUGAGCAUCUUCAGAGAAACCACCAUCUCCUUGUGGUAGAAUUGCCUAAGGCCUUGCCAACAGGCAGCUAUCUGGGAAUCAGGGGAGAUCCAGAAGCCGGCUUUUUUUCCCUGUAUGUCCUCCUGAGGCCUUUAUCCAGACCCUGUCUGUGAAGUGAAGCAGCUUUCUAGUUAUAGUAACAUUUUUAGGCACUAGUUUUCCUGAGCUUGACCUGAGCUUAAGAACUAUAUCAGAAUGGGAUGGGUUGCUUGGAAGGAGGUUAAUAUGGUUCCCUCGUUGAAGUGGUUGGGGUUUGUUACAGAAGAAAUUUCUGUAUGGAGUGAGUGGAUAAAGGUCACUCUUUCUAACUCAGCAAAUCUAUUGAGAUUAUUAUUCAGGUGGUAAAAGCAGAUAAUGCCCAUCCCUUGAAGGGAUGUUUUAACUUUUGUUUUAACUAGGCUUGUAUCUGUCUAGUAUUUUUAUAACUGACCUAAAAGAGGUUUAUCAACAGAAGGGAAAAUUAAAGGAGAGGACCAGUAUAAUGUUUGAAUUUUUCUUAUACCCCCCUCACUGCAACAAUGAUCUAAUCACUUAUUUUAUAUCUUCUUAACUGUUGCUUCCCUAAAUGUUAUUUACAUGUAACUGGUUAGAAUUACAGACUUGGUUUCAACAAAGGGAAAAUAGAGGUUUUGGAAAUAGUUUCCUGUUUCUGUUACAAAUAUAAACUGUUAAAAAUUGUAAGCUGCUAAGCAGUGCUGAAUUUUGCUGUUUUGCUGAAAAUGUGAUCAAACAGGGAAAAGAUGCCUUAUUCAUCACGUUUCUUUCUUUAUGUUCUCUUGGGGUUGCCAGCUUAGCAGAUUAUCUGAAUCUUAAUUAUGUUAGGAACUAAGUACAAACAAAUCCUCUGGUUUCCUCAGGUGAUUUUUAAAGAAUAAAUAACUAUGAGUUACUACCCA
rnacentral:lncRNA from 1 species